GACGAACGCUGGCGGCGUGCUUAACACAUGCAAGUCGAGCGGAAAGGCCCUUCGGGGUACUCGAGCGGCAAACGGGUGAGUAACACGUGAGUAACCUGCCCCAGACUUUGGGAUAACCCUCGGAAACGGGGGCUAAUACCGGAUACGACACAGCUUCGCAUGGGGUCUGUGUGGAAAGUUUUUCGGUUUGGGAUGGGCUCGCGGCCUAUCAGCUUGUUGGUGGGGUGAUGGCCUACCAAGGCGACGACGGGUAGCCGGCCUGAGAGGGCGACCGGCCACACUGGGACUGAGACACGGCCCAGACUCCUACGGGAGGCAGCAGUGGGGAAUAUUGCACAAUGGGCGGAAGCCUGAUGCAGCGACGCCGCGUGAGGGAUGACGGCCUUCGGGUUGUAAACCUCUUUCAGCAGGGACGAAGCGUAAGUGACGGUACCUGCAGAAGAAGCGCCGGCCAACUACGUG
rnacentral:rRNA from 1 species